CUCCCAGAAUUUCUUUCUUUUCGAUCUAAUCCUAGCUUCAUCACUGUCCUUGAAGCAGCUAUGACCACCUCCUGAGUGAACAAUGUUCACAAUUAGUGGGUGAGUUACAGAAUGAACUCAAAAUAGAGUUCUAAAGAAAGGCCAGACAAGAAAUGCCAAGCCUCAUAAAUGAAAGAAUUCCUCAAGACAGCCAGAAGUCCUUUCUUUGUGGCAGCAGCAGAUCAUAUUCAUAAAUAUCUCAAGCUAUUAAUGUGAGUAAAGCCAUACGAGAAGUACCAAAAGAUUAGAUCUAGUUACUCUUAAAAGUGUAAUCAUAGCAUUUUAAGACCCCAGUCUCUAUUACUCUUGAACUGAUAUAGGGCAACUUCAUUAAAGUUCAACUAAUUUCGGUUCUAUUGAUAUAUGUUUUACUAGUAUGUACUCUAUGGUUAUAAAUUUCCAGGAAAAGCAAAUAAAAGAAUCAAUCAAGAUAUAA